rnacentral:lncRNA from 1 species
CUCCACUUGACCACUGUUCACUGCUGAAAUUUGUUUAGUUCCAAAGGAUGUUCCAAAGACCUUGUUUUCAACAUAGAUUGAAGCAAUGAAACCUUAACAAAAGCAAAACAAUCAGAACACAAGAAUCGGCAUUGAUGAUACCAAGAGCACAAAGAAGUGGAAGUUAAAAAACAGAGAAAGAAGAGAGAACCGCCAAGCUGAAGCAAUGUUAUCAGCAGAGGUCGGUGCAAACACAGCCUCCACAACUCAGCAAGAUGCACCUCCGAGUGCUCCUGGAAGGAUCCUGUGUCAGGAUCGAUAUCUAUAAACAACCUCUAUGAAGCCAAAAAGGAAGCAUUUCUGUGUAUCAAUACACAAUGCCUUACGAGGAAGAAAAAAGAACGUCUUCUUUUUAACUGCCACUCAGUGCUUUUGCUUUUUAAACUGUCUGAUGGCCAAGUUCAAAAGCAAUUUGUCCUGCACAGUCAUUGCCCAAAGUGGACAACAUAAUUAAUCAUCUAUCCUUAUGCACUUGUGACUUAAAAUGACUUUUAGCUAAAUACUCUUACCCUAGCUCUCCCCUUGAUUAAUCCUGAACCAUGUAAGCAUGAAUUUUAUUACUGGCUCUCUCCUUCUGUCAGCUGGAAUGUCACGCUGGAAUAUAAUGAAAAUAAAAUCAUAGUAUGUUCAUUUCCCCACUGCUCUAAAAAUGCCAUUUAUUUCCUUUUUGAAAUACUUUUUAG